CUUUAAAGGGCAUCAGUCAGCAGAUUUCUACCUAUGAAACUGGCUGACCUGUUUCAUGUGCACUUGGCAGCUGAAGGCAUCUGUGUUGGUCCAAUGUUCAUAUGUGCCCGCAUUGCACAUGAAAAAUAUGAUGUUUUUGAGGUGU